rnacentral:lncRNA from 1 species
AUAUUGAAUAACGCCAAACCUGAGAAUACUUUAAUAGCAGUCACAGAACUACAACCGCAUGAAGGAUUAUACCCAUUUCAUCUUUAAUAACCUAAACUGUACAACUUUUGAUCCUUUAAUUCUCAUAAAAAAUAUUUUUGAUCGAUGAAAGUCAGAUUUCCGGUAUUGAUAUGCUAGUAUGAUAAAGUGUUCAUUUUAUAUCCUCAUAGUUCUCGUACAUAUGGAAAAUAAUAAUUUCAAGCUGGGUUUGAUUUUGAUAAGAAUUAUUUGACAAUUCAAGAUACGUUUAUAGCAUUUGUUUAUGUUACUAUUUUCAAUAGGUGACAUGUUUAUGGCCUAAUUAACACCUUUGAUGGUCUUUAAUCUGUUGAUCA